rnacentral:rRNA from 1 species
UAUUGGGCGUAAGCGCGCGCAGGCGGUUUCUUAAGUCUGAUGUGAAAGCCCACCGCUCAACCGUGGAGGGUCAUUGGAAACUGGGGAACUUGAGCGCAGAAGAGAAAAGCGGAAUUCCACGUGUAGCGGUGAAAUGCGUAGAGAUGUGGAGGAACACCAGUGGCGAAGGCGGCCUUUUGGUCUGUAACUGACGUUGAGGCGCGAAAGCGUGGGGA